CAUGUAUAGACAAAAUCCCUUCUUUGAUAGAUCUCAAGGAAAUUAAUUCUCUCUUCUUUCUUGACAUAAGGGGGAAGAGAGGCCAUCUUUUUGCUAGUCAUUUGUAAAUAGAAUCCAUUGAACAGAAGCCCCUUUUCUUCUCCAAGUCCAAGCAUAAAUGGCUAAGGAGAUGAAGAAUUUGACUGGAUGGAUGGAGGUUCUUCCAGCCCCCACCAUUUACCCACAAAAGCCUUCGAAUUCACCUGGUUUGGAGACAAUUUUCGAAGAGAGCAUCGAAGAAUCUGACGACGAUUCAUAACUUUUUUACCUCAUCUUGAUUCUUUGGUUAUGGAUCCUUGAUGAUCACAUAUUUGAAAAUGCUUUGCUUUGGAUGUGUCUCGCUACGCCUCGGCUUUGGUUCGGUGGAAUGCUUUGAUCAGAGCUAUGAUCUAGCCAUCUGAAAGACCAGAAAUGGAUCAGGGAAGCAACUGCAAUGGUUUAGAUAAUGAAUGGCUUCAAUUCUAUCCUUCUGACCAAUGCAGUGGGAGUUCUUCCUCUCUGAACAUUGUCUAAUGAACCCUGUAUUGUAAAUAUGCAAUUACUUUCCAUCUUCUUGUAUGUAAAAAAAGUACCAAAAUAAUUAUACGUGUCAGACUAUUGGGAAGUGUGUAUUGCUUACGAAACUGUUGCUUGCAGUUACAGCUCUUAGGAGGAUAGUGAUGAUUUGCAAGCUAGCAACAAGACAAUUGAGUGCUAAUUAAAUUAGAUUUGGUAAAUACAAGGAAUAUCAGAAAUAUUGUGCUAAUCUAUU
rnacentral:lncRNA from 1 species